AGUGGCGGUACCCCCGCCGGCGUCGCGACGCCGCCCGGCUCCAGGAGCUGCACCUGACGCGGCGGCCGCAGUCCCGGGUAGUCCUUCUCCUUCCAGCCCCUUCCCCUCUCCCGCUGCUUUCCUGGCCUCCCGCUCCAGGGAGCGAGGUGGGGGAGAGGGAGGGCGACGACUCAGAGCGGGGACUCGGUGGCUCUGCCGACUCCGGAGCCCCUGGCAAGUGUCUAAACAAUAGGACGGACGCAGCAGCCCAAGUCUCGCUUGUCUGGAAGGAAGCUGUAUCUGUGGAUCCACUGGAACUCAUGGGGAUCAAGGAAUCUACAGAUCCUCAGGAAUGAUCACCCUCAUACAGGAGAUGGUCAUGUCUCUCUGCACACAUUGCUUAAGGGCAUCUACCGGGAGCAGUAAAGAGCUAGGGUCCUCAGCACCAGCACUCCAAGGAUGCUGAAACCUGACCUGCUUCUGGACAUAGCUUUGACUUUGAGAUGAUUCUCUAGGUAAGUGAUUCUCAGCAUAUGGUCCCUGGAUAAUCACCAGGACUGUAGUUGGAGAUACAGCUUCUCAGGCCCUAACUCAAACCCACAAAAUCAGAAAAUCUGGAAACAGAAGCCGGAAGGCUAUGUUCUAACAAGCCCUCCAAGAGAUUUUGAUGUUCACUAAAAUUUGAGAUCCAUUACUCAAGAUCUGCUCUGUGUUUGUAUCUGAGACACGUUAGUACAAAGAAUGAAGCAGCAAAGAAUAAUAGAUAACACCUGCUGAAUUGUCUUCAGCUCCUCUUUCCUGGAGGUUGACAAUUGCACAUUACUGAUCACCUCUAGGGGGCACCAAAAUAUUUUGAUGUACAGCUCCACAGAGGUAAUAAGACUUUAUUUUCCAACGAAAUGGCCUUCAGAAGUGGAAAGGGCUUCCUAGUUAUUACAUCAGCGACCUGUCUGAAUAUGUCUCAACCCAUUAAACAAUCUGUUAUAUUUAUAGGGAUUUUUUCCAGUUUAAUACUACUUUUGUAUGGAUGCGUUGAUUCCCAUUUCUCAUGAUUAUUGUGAAAAUUAAGACAAUAUUUUUCCAUCUAACAGCACAGGGCCUGGCAUAGAGUUAGGUGCUUAUUAAAUAAA
rnacentral:lncRNA from 1 species